rnacentral:rRNA from 1 species
CCCAUAUGGUCGACCUGCAGGCGGCCGCGAAUUCACUAGUGAUUAGAGUUGAUCAUGGCUCAGAUUGAACGCUGGCGGGAUGCCUUACACAUGCAAGUCGAACGGCAGCGCGGACUUCGGUCUGGCGGCGAGUGGCGAACGGGUGAGUAAAGUAUCGGAACGUGCCCAGUAGCGGGGGAUAACUACGCGAAAGCGUGGCUAAUACCGCAUACGCCCUAAGGGGGAAAGCGGGGGAUCUUAGGACCUCGCACUAUUGGAGCGGCCGAUAUCGGAUUAGCUAGUUGGUGGGGUAACGGCUCACCAAGGCGACGAUCCGUAGCUGGUUUGAGAGGACGACCAGCCACACUGGGACUGAGACACGGCCCAGACUCCUACGGGAGGCAGCAGUGGGGAAUUUUGGACAAUGGGGGCAACCCUGAUCCAGCCAUCCCGCGUGUGCGAUGAAGGCCUUCGGGUUGUAAAGCACUUUUGGCAGGAAAGAAACGGCGCCGGAUAAUACCUGGCGCAUCUGACGGUACCUGCAGAAUAAGCACCGGCUAACUACGUGCCAGCAGCCGCGGUAAUACGAAUCGAAUUCCCGCGGCCGCCAUGGCGGCCGGGAGCAUGCGACGU